rnacentral:rRNA from 1 species
CCUACGGGUGGCAGCAGUAGGGAAUCUUCCACAAUGGGCGAAAGCCUGAUGGAGCAACGCCGCGUGGGUGAAGAAGGUCUUCGGAUCGUAAAACUCUUUUGUUAGAGAAGAAAGUGCUUGCGAGUCACUGUUCACGUUUCGACGGUAUCUAACUAGCAAGCCACGGCUAACUACGUGCCAGCAGCCGCGGUAAUGCGUUGGUGGCAAGCGUUAUCCGUGUUUGUUGGGCGUAAAGGGAACGUAGGCGGUCCUUUAAGUCAGAUGUGAAAGCCUUCGGCUUAACCGGUGUAGUGCAUUUGAAACUGGGGGACUUGAGUGCAGGAGAGGCAAGUGGAAUUCCAGGUGUAGCGGUGAAAUGCGUAGAUAUAUGGAAGAACACCAGUGGCGAAGGCGGCUCUCUGGACUGUAACUGACGCUGAGGUUCGAAAGCGUGGGUAGCAAACAGGAUUAGAUACCCGUGUAGUC